rnacentral:rRNA from 1 species
UUUAAGCCUUCUAGGUAGUAAAUAAAAUUAAAACCUAAUAAAAUGGCGGUCUUAAUACUUUAGAGAAACUCGCUUUAUAAUCGAUAAUACCCGCUAAUUUUCACUUUUCUCAAAAUCCUAUAUACCGCCGUUCAAAGGGUACACCCUACCGUAAGACCCUACUAUUACCCUAACAAAAAAAAUCAGGUCAAGGUGUAGACUAUAGAAAAGAAAAAGUAAGUUACAUUAAAAAUAAUUUAAGAAUAGAACCUAAAAAAGAACCGGAAAAAGAAUCUAUACGUAAACUUUGAUUAAAAUUCAAAAUCGAAACACAAUAUUACAGACGC